rnacentral:rRNA from 1 species
UGGGGAAUAUUGCACAAUGGGGGAAACCCUGAUGCAGCGACGCCGCGUGAACGAAGAAGGUAUUCGUAUCGUAAAGUUCUGUCCUAUGGGAAGAUAAUGACAGUACCAUAGAAGAAAGCUCCGGCUAAAUACGUGCCAGCAGCCGCGGUAAUACGUAUGGAGCGAGCGUUGUCCGGAAUUAUUGGGCGUAAAGGGUACGCAGGCGGUUUAAUAAGUCGAAUGUUAAAGAUCGGGGCUCAACCCCGCAAAGCAUUGGAAACUGAUAAACUUGAGUAGUGGAAAGGAAAGUGGAAUUCCUAGUGUAGUGGUGAAAUACGUAGAUAUUAGGAAGAAUACCAGUAGCGAAGGCGACUUUCUGGACACAAACUGACGCUGAGGUACGAAAGCGUGGGGAGCAAACAGG